rnacentral:rRNA from 1 species
AAAUUGAAGAGUUUGAUCAUGGCUCAGAUUGAACGCUGGCGGCAGGCCUAACACAUGCAAGUCGAACGGUAACAGGAAGCAGCUUGCUGUUUCGCUGACGAGUGGCGGACGGGUGAGUAAUGUCUGGGAAACUGCCUGAUGGAGGGGGAUAACUACUGGAAACGGUGGCUAAUACCGCAUAACGUCGCAAGACCAAAGAGGGGGACCUUCGGGCCUCUUGCCAUCAGAUGUGCCCAGAUGGGAUUAGCUUGUUGGUGAGGUAACGGCUCACCAAGGCGACGAUCCCUAGCUGGUCUGAGAGGAUGACCAGCCACACUGGAACUGAGACACGGUCCAGACUCCUACGGGAGGCAGCAGUGGGGAAUAUUGCACAAUGGGCGCAAGCCUGAUGCAGCCAUGCCGCGUGUAUGAAGAAGGCCUUCGGGUUGUAAAGUACUUUCAGCGGGGAGGAAGGUGUUGUGGUUAAUAACCACAGCAAUUGACGUUACCCGCAGAAGAAGCACCGGCU